AUUGAACGCUGGCGGCAUGCCUUACACAUGCAAGUCGAACGGCAGCACGGGUGCUUGCACCUGGUGGCGAGUGGCGAACGGGUGAGUAAUGCAUCGGAACGUACCCAGUUGUGGGGGAUAACGUACCGAAAGGUACGCUAAUACCGCAUAAGACCUGAGGGUGAAAGCGGGGGAUCGCAAGACCUCGCGCGACUGGAGCGGCCGAUGUCUAAUUAGCUAGUUGGUAGGGUAAAGGCCUACCAAGGCGACGAUCAGUAGCUGGUCUGAGAGGACGACCAGCCACACUGGGACUGAGACACGGCCCAGACUCCUACGGGAGGCAGCAGUGGGGAAUUUUGGACAAUGGGGGCAACCCUGAUCCAGCCAUGCCGCGUGAGUGAAGAAGGCCUUCGGGUUGUAAAGCUCUUUCGGACGGGAAGAAAUUGCGCGCUCUAACAUAGCGUGUAGAUGACGGUACCGUAAGAAGAAGCACCGGCUAACUACGUGCCAGCAGCCGCAGUAA
rnacentral:rRNA from 1 species